GUAGGCGCUGCGUGACUUGCCUCGGACACCCAAGAAGCACAUGUCAGAGCCUGGAGCUCCCACAUCCCAAGCCUGACCUCGUGCCGUGCAUCAUCCCGUGCAUGAAAGCGCCCUAGAAGGCACUGCUUGUUUUUCUACCGUCUGUUCCAGAGAAAUCCAGCUGGUAGAGGAGCGCAGCGCCGUGAUUUAUUUGAGAACUCCCUCGUACUCGCCUGAAGGUCUCGCCGCCGGGAGAGGAGGGAGAGCGGGAGGCUGCGCUCCGCGAAGGCUGCUCGGGCGGCGGAGCGGCCGCCCAGCGCGGCCCGGCACCCAGCGCCCCGCACCGCGGAGCCGCUCCGCACCGCACCGCACCGAAGGGCGACGGGCAGCGCGGGCACCCGGCGGCAGCGUCCGGCGGAGCCAGCGCCGAUAACCCACCGGCAACCACCGACCCCAGCGGGUCGGGGAUGGCACAUACAAACACAAAGGAAAAGUGGCUGGACUGUUCUGGGUGCAAAAUGCUGGAAGUUUGUAAGUGCAACUCUCCGUUUGUAAUUAUUGUCUGAAGAGGGGCUGGCUUUUUUCCUCCUCCCCCCCCCCCCCCUUUUUUUUUUUCCCCCCGCCUGUUCUUUUCUUGAAACUGUACUUGAAACUAUUCAAUAUCUGGGAGUAUAAGGGAAAGUAUGCGAGAGGAGCUCUUUGCCUGGGUCCGUAGCUUGCUGCUUUAUUACUAAGGGGGGAAAUAAGCACUGAAAGCAACACGGAUUUUAUCCUGUGGCUGGAUUAACUGAAGGCGAAGCGUGGUCUGGAAGUCCAGUGACUGACAUUGUUCCGGACCGGGGAAUCCGUCGCCCUUAUUUUUAGAGGAACUACAAUUUAGCGGCAGACAGUUGGACACAGUCACAAAGUGAAGAGCAAAGAGCGGGCGAGAGAAAUGAGAAAGCACAAAGACUAAACUGAACCGAGCCGCCGCCUCCUCCUCUUUUAUUUGCACACUUACUGAAGAGUUUUGUUGUUUGUUUUGUUUUGUGUUUUUUUUUUAAAAACACAACAAACAAAAACCAAACCAAAACCAAAACCCAACAAGCCCCACUCUGCCAAAUUACGCGAUUUUUGGUCCGCCGGGGGGUUUCUCCGUGUCGCCAAGCACGGCAAUGCCUUAAAUUUCCACUUCAAGGAAUAACCCCUCCGCUCCCCCGAAAUAAAAUAAAAUCAAUAAACCUG